UGAUGAUGUAGGAACCACAACC
rnacentral:snRNA from 1 species